rnacentral:rRNA from 1 species
CAGUAGCCGCGGUAAUACGAAGGGUGCAAGCGUUAAUCGGAAUUACUGGGCGUAAAGCGCACGUAGGCGGCUUGGUAAGUUAGAGGUGAAAGCCCGGAGCUCAACUCCGGAAUUGCCUUUAAGACUGCCGAGCUAGUAGGUGAGAGAGGUAAGUGGAAUUCCGAGUGUAGAGGUGAAAUUCGUAGAUAUUCGGAAGAACACCAGUGGCGAGGGCGGCUUACUGGCUCAUUCUAGGCGCUGAGGUGCGAAAGCGUGGGGAGCAAACAGGAUUAGAGACCCCCGUAGUCCCUGUCUCUUAUAC